CGAGAGAGAGAGAGAGAGAGCAAAGAAAAGAGAAACACAGAGCAGAAAAAAAUCAUAAGAAAAGUGCAAGAAAAGAGUGAAGAAGUACAUGGAGGCCUGGAUACGAACUAAUUUGCUGUUAAAGUGACAAAAGGAUAAACAAGCACCAGUAAAAACAUGUGAAAUUUACUCAGAAGAAAGUAACUGAGCAAGAAAAAAGAAAAACAAGUAAAAUAGGAAAAACAACACAGCAAGAAGGAACAGGGCAGAAAAGUAAACUCGUGGAGAAAAGUUUGUUUUUCAAUCAAAUUCUAAAGUUCAAAAAUCGCCCAAGCUAAAUUGCAUUUUUUCGUGUUUGGUUUGUUGUUCUUGGGUGAUUGAAACCUCCAGCAACAGAAAAACGACUGAGAGACAAGUCAGAGAAGGUGCCCUAAAGUGAAGAGUAACUACCUUCCCAUUCCUGGAGCCGACCUUCCAGAAAGCCUGCACCCAUCUUUGAGAAACAGCAUCGAUAAGGCAACAUGGAAGCGAAGCAGGAGGUGCUGGACCUGCUGCAGAAGGUCUGGGUGAAGCUGCAGGGCCUGCCCCAUGCUAGCGCUGCGGAACUAGGACUUUUCUUCGUCCUAGUCCUCUUCAUUGCCACCUUCCUGCUCAUGAUCCUGCUGUCCUGUGCCCACUGCUGCUGCUGCGGCAAACCCAAGUAUCAGGCCUCCAGGGUGCAGCCCAUACACGCCGUGUGAGAGCCACCAGGACCAGCACCAGGACCGCCGGCAGCUGUUCAGAGCUCCGUGGGUCCUGCCGUGGCGAUGCGGACCUCGCUCCGCGGCUGGGGGCUCAUUCCGAGGCGUCCCAAAGUCCCCCAAAAACGAGAGCUGCACCUAUCCAAUGCGCCCUCCCUGAAGGAUGGAGGGGUGCAGGCUGGAAAACAAAGCAUUGAAACAAAGUGGGAAUGAACAUUUUAAGGGGCCAAAAGUGGGUAAAAAAGGCUACAUGCUUGCAUCUGUGCUUUUGCUCGUCGUCAACAGCUGGACUUCUCCAAAAGACAUCAAAAAAAUAUAUUUAUGUUUUAGUCAGAGAAACUACAUGACGGUUCAUACUUCAAAGGAACCUUUUGAGUGGGAAUCAGAGUAUCCCCAUGGCUCUUUGAUUUUUCAGCAAUUAUUUUCACCCAAUUGCCAACGAAUAGGCCAAAAACCAAACAAUCAAAGAGCUAUGUGAUGUUGAAAAUACUGUUUAUGAACUGUAUAAAACACAAGGUGUGUUAAAGGCCUUAACUAACCUUUGAAUAAAGGAACAGAUUGCAAUUGCUACACUAUGACUGUCCAGCAUUAAAAAAAGUUUAUGAUACACGUGUCCUGGUCUAACCCAAACAUGCUGCGCACUUUAACAAUUAAGGUCAGGGUGAAACAUAGCAUAGCUCCUGAGUCCCGGACUGCAGCUGCUGAGACUUGCCGUGCCAUUCUGCACACAGCGACGCAGUGCGGCCUUUUCAUCUGAGCAUUAUCCUCCCCCUCCCUCCUCAACAGUAUGAAAAUGCAUCUCUGUGCUGUUUGUUUAUAUGUCAUUCUUGCUAAGCUGUUUGUUUGCUUAUAUGUUAUUCAUGUUGACCUUUUGUUUAUAUGAUAUUUGUUUUGUCUGUGUGAACUCCCUGUAAUUGUCUGGCUGAUGAAAGGGAAAGCAUAUUGACGUAGCUUUAUUUUUUUCAGUUGGAAAUAAAGGUUUUGUAUGAUUUUUGCUUUUUGUUUACAUUUUUCAAUUAUUAAUUUACAGAAUUAAAGCUUCUUUCGAUAUUUA